AUUGAACGCUGGCGGCAGGCCUAACACAUGCAAGUCGAACGAGUGGCGGACGGGUGAGUAAUGUCUGGGAAACUGCCUGAUGGAGGGGGAUAACUACUGGAAACGGUAGCUAAUACCGCAUACCAUCGGAUGUGCCCAGAUGGGAUUAGAUAGUAGGUGGGGUAAAGGCUCACCUAGGCGACGAGCCCUAGCUGGUCUGAGAGGUUUACCUGCCAAACGGGAACUGAGACACGGUCCCGCCUCCUACGGGAGGCAGCAGUGGUGAAUAUUGCACAAUUGGCGCAAGCCUGAUGCAGCCAUGCCGCGUGUAUGAAGAAGGCCUUCGGGUUUUAAAGUACUUGCAGCGGGGAGGCGUUACCCGCAGAAGAAGCACCGGCUAACUCCGUGCCAGCCGCCGCGGUAAUAC
rnacentral:rRNA from 1 species